GGAGGCCUAUCAAAAGGCUUUAGAAAUAGAAAAGUACAACAAAAUUUUCUCUUUUUGUCAUGUAGCUUCACAGUCUAUGACCAUAUCAGUUCAAUUUUUUUUUUGCCAGAUCAUCUAAUUCUAGAGAUAGCGCUAGUAAAAGAAAAGAUGUCCCUAAUAAAGGUAAAAUUGUUUCUUCUAAUAAUCAUUCUGUUGUUGCAUCUAUAGGUUCUUCAUCACUUACUUUC
rnacentral:misc_RNA from 1 species